rnacentral:rRNA from 1 species
AGAGUUUGAUCCUGGCUCAGGACGAACGCUGGCGGCGUGCUUAACACAUGCAAGUCGAGCGGAAAGGCCCUUCGGGGUACUCGAGCGGCGAACGGGUGAGUAACACGUGAGUAACCUGCCCCUGACUCUGGGAUAAGCCCGGGAAACUGGGUCUAAUACCGGAUAUGACACCUCCUCGCAUGGGGUGGGUGUGGAAAGUUUUUCGGUUGGGGAUGGACUCGCGGCCUAUCAGCUUGUUGGUGGGGUAAUGGCCUACCAAGGCGACGACGGGUAGCCGGCCUGAGAGGGCGACCGGCCACACUGGAACUGAGACACGGCCCAGACUCCUACGGGAGGCAGCAGUGGGGAAUAUUGCGCAAUGGGCGAAAGCCUGACGCAGCGACGCCGCGUGGGGGAUGACGGCCUUCGGGUUGUAAACCUCUUUCAGCAGGGACGAAGUUGACGUGUACCUGCAGAAGAAGCGCCGGCUAACUACGUGCCAGCAGCCGCGGUAAUACGUAGGGCGCAAGCGUUGUCCGGAAUUAUUGGGCGUAAAGAGCUCGUAGGCGGUGUGUCGCGUCGGGUGUGAAAGCUUGGGGCUUAACUCCAGGUCUGCAUUCGAUACGGGCUGGCUAGAGGUAGGUAGGGGAGAACGGAAUUCCUGGUGUAGCGGUGAAAUGCGCAGAUAUCAGGAGGAACACCGGUGGCGAAGGCGGUUCUCUGGGCCUUACCUGACGCUGAGGAGCGAAAGCGUGGGGAGCGAACAGGAUUAGAUACCCUGGUAGUCCACGCUGUAAACGUUGGGCGCUAGGUGUGGGGACCUUCCACGGUUUCCGCGCCGUAGCUAACGCAUUAAGCGCCCCGCCUGGGGAGUACGGCCGCAAGGCUAAAACCCAAAGGAAUUGACGGGGGCCCGCACAAGCGGCGGAGCAUGUUGCUUAAUUCGACGCAACGCGAAGAACCUUACCAAGGCUUGACAUUGCCCGGAAACACUCAGAGAUGGGUGCCUCUUCGGAUCGGGUGACAGGUGGUGCAUGGCUGUCGUCAGCUCGUGUCGUGAGAUGUUGGGUUAAGUCCCGCAACGAGCGCAACCCUUGUUCAAUGUUGCCAGCACGCUCCUUCGGGGGUGGUGGGGACUCAUUGGAGACUGCCGGGGUCAACUCGGAGGAAGGUGGGGAUGACGUCAAGUCAUCAUGCCCCUUAAGUCUUGGGCUGCAAACAUGCUACAAUGGCCGGUACAGAGGGCUGCGAUACCGCAAGGUGGAGCGAAUCCCUAAAAGCCGGUCUCAGUUCGGAUUGGGGUCUGCAACUCGACCCCAUGAAGUCGGAGUCGCUAGUAAUCGCAGAUCAGCAACGCUGCGGUGAAUACGUUCCCGGGCCUUGUACACACCGCCCGUCACGUCACGAAAGUCGGCAACACCCGAAGCCCGUGGCCCAACCAGCUUGCUGGGGGGAGCGGUCGAAGGUGGGGCUGGCGAUUGGGACGAAGUCGUAACAAGGUA